AUAAUCGCCGUCGCUUCCGGUGCCGCGCGCUGCAUGCCGACGCGUGGUUAAACGGGAAACAGGGAGCGUGGCCCCACGGGCCGUCGCCAACCUGUGCUGCCCCCGCAACGGUAAGCAGCGGCGUUCGCGUUCGCGCGAACGGUCGUGCACCCAUCGCCACUGGGCCUGCGUCGCCUCGCGCGCGCCGGUCCGGGAAGGCAGUGCCCGCCCGGGUCGGCCCCGCAUCGCGUGGCCCCCGACGCUGCAAGCCCGGAUACCGCCCGGAAGGGAGGGUCGCGG
rnacentral:ncRNA from 2 species